rnacentral:misc_RNA from 1 species
GGUUGAUUAGGGUAGAAAUGUCCACUAGUGGUAGCAGGACAAUAUCAAGUAGUUUGGGAAUAGGAUGUGAUUUUUUGAGAAGCUGGGAUUGGGAGAGUGAGGUAUCGGUCGUGACCACAAAGACUGUGGCAUUGAAGCCAUGUUCACUUACCAGGCGUUUGCCUAGCUCUAGGACAGGGAUGAAGUGCCCCAUGCCAGGGCUCGCCAAUAGUGCUGCAUGAGGCUUCGUGGUUUGCAUGGAUACCAGAGUUAAAGAAAGAGUUUUGUGCUUUAGCUG